rnacentral:rRNA from 1 species
UACGAAGGGGGCUAGCGUUGUUCGGAAUUACUGGGCGUAAAGCGCGUGUAGGCUGCUCGGAAAGUCGGAUGUGAAAGCCCUGGGCUUAACCUAGGAAGUGCAUUCGAAACUUCCGAGCUGGAGUUCUGGAGAGGAAGGCGGAAUUCUCGGUGUAGAGGUGAAAUUCGUAGAUAUCUGGAGGAACACCGGUGGCGAAGGCGGCAUUCUGGACUGCAACUGACGCUGAAAAACGAAAGCCAGGGGAGCAAACGGG